UGUUGUGUUGGUUGCUUAUUUUGAUGAAACUAUGGAUAGUAUCGGGGGGUGUUAGCCAUGGAAGAUUGAAAAUACAGUAACCCAACAUCAGCACAAGUAGAAUUUAAGUUUUCUACAGUACCUAAGGAAGUGGUGGUUUGCUUUCUCAUACUAAUGUUAUGACGAGUUUCUGUUUAAGUUUCCUGUUGUGAAGUUUUGAAGUUUUGGGUGAAGUUCUUAUGGACAAAAAGAUAAAGAGUGGCAAAAGCUCAAGCUUGAGGAUGCCCAAGGAACCCCAAGAGAUUCAAGGAUGCCGUAAAAGCCUAAGCUUGGGGAUACCCCGGGAAGGCAUCCCCUCUCUCGUCUUCAAUCCAUCGGAACGUUACUUGGGGCUAUAUUUUUAUUCACCACAUGUUAUGUGUUUUUGCUUGGAGCGUCUUCUAUCGUAGGAGUCUUUUUUUGUCACUAUCAUCCUUGCUGCACACCUAGAUAGAGAGACAUGCAGUCACCAUGAUUUUGUCGAGGUUCACUUAUAUCUUUUGGUAGACAAUUCAGCUCACAUGUGCUUCACUUAUAUCUUUUGAGUUAGACACUUUUGCUCUAUGUGCUUCACUUAUAUAUCUUAGAGCACAGUGGUGCGCGGCUUGGUAGUUGAUCUAUGCUUUGAAACUAGUCUCAAAAGGGGUAGUUAUCCAAAGGGAUAUGAAAACUUCCACCUUCAUGUGCAUUGAAUAGUUAGAGAAGUUUGACUCAUCUCAAUUAGUUUUGAGUUGUAAUUAUGGUAAUAUUGAAGUCAUGCUAGUAAGGUGUUGCGGAUCUAGAAAUACAUGUGUUGAAGUUAGUGAUUCCCGUAGCAUGCACGUAUGGUGAACCGCUAUGUGAUGAAACCUGAGCAUGAUUAGUAUAUUGAUUGUCAUCCUUUGCAUGACGGUCGGGAUCGCGCAAUGGUUUAUACCUACCAACCCUUCCCGUAGGAGUAUGCGUUGAAUUCUUUGUUUCGAUUACUAAUAAACUUUUGCAACAAGUAUAUGAGUUCUUCAUAACUAAUGUUGAGUCCAAGGUUUAGAUGCACUUUCACUUUCCACCAUCACCAUCUUCUUAGUGCCGUGCAACUUUCGCCGGUACAUAAAACCCACCAUUAGCCUCCCUCAAAACAGCCACCAUACCUACCUACUAUGGAUUUUUCAAAGUCAUUCCGAGAUAUAUUGCCAUGCAACUACCACCAUGACAUGUGCCACCACGUCUACAUUGCCAUUUCAUGAUCAUAAGAUAGCUAGUAUGAUGUCUAUGCCAUGCUAAGAUCUUUGCCACGGUACACUACCAAAGGCAUUCCAUAUAGAGU
rnacentral:lncRNA from 1 species